AGGACAAACGCUGGCGGCGUGCAUAAAACAUGCAAGUCGGACGAGCCAAUCCCCGCAAGGGAAAAGGCUAGUGGCGAACGGCUGAGUAACACGUAGGUGAUCUGCCCUGAAGUGGGGGAUAACGACUCGAAAGAGUCGCUAAUACCGCAUGUGACCACCGAUCCGUUUUCGGUGCUCAAAGUCGUAAGACGCUUUAGGAGGAGCCUGCGGCGGAUUAGCUAGUUGGUGAGGUAAUGGCCCACCAAGGCUUCGAUCCGUAGCUGGUCUGAGAGGAUGGCCAGCCAGACUGGGACUGAGACACGGCCCAGACUCCUACGGGAGGCAGCAGUUAGGAAUUUUGCGCAAUGGGGGAAACCCUGACGCAGCCACGCCGCGUGCGGGAUGAAGGCCUUCGGGUCGUAAACCGCCUUUCUCGAGAAGACACCCGACGGUACUCGAGGCAUAAGCAACGGCUAACUACCGUGCCAGCCAGCCGACGACCGC
rnacentral:rRNA from 1 species